AGUCACACUUUACGUUAAAGAUCUUCGACAUUCAUGUGCUGCGUAACGGUAGUUAGUGCAUUUAUACAUUACUGUGAUUUAUGCAUUAACCGUUCUCAGCUCUAAGAUAAAAUAAACAAUAUUUCGGUUACAAACGUUUCGGAAAGCUUUUAAAUGUGUGAAGUGUCCUUGAGCUUGUGGAAAGGCACUAUAUAAAUAAAACUAUCUCAAGCUGCAGCUACCCUGCAGGAAGCUCAGUCCAAGACCACCCAGUGUCUGGCGCUGGAAUCAUGAAUCCCGAGCCUCCGCCUCAAUUGGAGGUUGAUGGAGCACCUGCGUAUAUGGUCAGAGCGAUCAUGGACUCAAGGCGACGGGGAGCCAGAUGCAAUACUUGGUGGACUGGGAAGGCUACGGACCAGAGGAGAGAUCGUGGGUAGCUGCCAAGGACAUGCUGGACCCGUCCCUGAUCCAAGAGUUCCACCAAGCUCAUCCUAAUCGUCCAGCACCACGACCAAGGGGACAUCCCAGCAGAAGAACACCAGCAGUUGUUCGUAGAGGGGGGGUUCUGUAACAUCUGAGGUUGUUACCCAUCCUACCAACCACCAGAGGGAGCCCUCUCCCGAAUACUGAUUAUCACCCAUUUCUUCACUGCUCAUUUCCUGUUUACCAUAUGUAUAUAUAGCCAUGCAGUUCCAUUGUUCAUUGCAAAGUAUUGCCAGUUUACACUGCCUUGCCGAGCGUUUUCCAUUUGCCACUGUUUAUUGAUUCAUGUUAUGACCAUUGCCUGCUUUUCUGGAUUUACUGCUUUUUGGAUAACACUUUGUUUUGUUUGCCUGGUUGGACUGUCUAUUUGGUUUAUUGGAUUUAUCUGCCUGCUUUUCGACUGUUUCUCUGCCUGCUGUUUUGGAUUGUUUGCUUGUCUCUUUUAAUAAACUUCCUGCACAUGGAUCCUAA